rnacentral:rRNA from 1 species
CCUACGGGAGGCAGCAGUGGGGAAUAUUGCACAAUGGGCGCAAGCCUGAUGCAGCGACGCCGCGUGAGGGAUGACGGCCUUCGGGUUGUAAACCUCUUUCGCUAGGGACGAAGCGCAAGUGACGGUACCUGGAGAAGAAGCACCGGCCAACUACGUGCCAGCAGCCGCGGUAAU